rnacentral:rRNA from 1 species
ACAGUGGGAUACCUUAGUAACGGCGAGUGAAGCGGUAAAAGCUCAAAUUUGAAAUCUGGUACUUUCAGUGCCCGAGUUGUAAUUUGUAGAAUUUGUCUUUGAUUAGGUCCUUGUCUAUGUUCCUUGGAACAGGACGUCAUAGAGGGUGAGAAUCCCGUUUGGCGAGGAUACCUUUUCUUUGUAAGACUUUUUCGAAGAGUCGAGUUGUUUGGGAAUGCAGCUCAAAGUGGGUGGUAAAUUCCAUCUAAAGCUAAAUAUUGGCGAGAGACCGAUAGCGAACAAGUACAGUGAUGGAAAGAUGAAAAGAACUUUGAAAAGAGAGUGAAAAAGUACGUGAAAUUGUUGAAAGGGAAGGGCAUUUGAUCAGACAUGGUGUUUUUUGCAUGCACUCGCCUCUCGUGGGCUUGGGCCUCUCAAAAAUUUCACUGGGCCAACAUCAAUUCUGGCAGCAGGAUAAAUCAUUAAGAAUGUAGCUACUUCGGUAGUGUUAUAGCUUUUUGGAAUACUGUUAGCCGGGAUUGAGGACUGCGCUUCGGCAAGGAUGUUGGCAUAAUGGUUAAAUGCCGCCCGUCUUGAACMMSGAAMCAA